UCCUACGGGAGGCAGCAGUAGGGAAUCUUCCACAAUGGACGAAAGUCUGAUGGAGCAAUGCCGCGUGAGUGAAGAAGGGUUUCGGCUCGUAAAACUCUGUUGUUGAAGAAGAACGGGUGUCAGAGUAACUGUUGACAUCGUGACGGUAUUCAACCAGAAAGCCACGGCUAACUACGUGCCAGCAGCCGCGGUAAU
rnacentral:rRNA from 1 species